rnacentral:rRNA from 1 species
AGAGUUUGAUCCUGGCUCAGGAUGAACGCUAGCGACAGGCCUAACACAUGCAAGUCGAGGGGCAGCGGGAGAGGUAGCAAUACCUUUGCCGGCGACCGGCGCACGGGUGAGUAACACGUAUGCAAUCCACCUGUAACAGGGGGAUAACCCGGAGAAAUCCGGACUAAUACCCCAUAAUAUGGGCGCUCCGCAUGGAGAGCCCCAUUAAAGAGAGCAAUUUUGGUUACAGACGAGCAUGCGCUCCAUUAG